GAGCAGGUAGCCUAGUGGUUAGAGCAGGUAGCCUAGUGGUUAGAGCAGGUAGCCUAGUGGUUAGAGCAGGUAGCCUAGUGGGUAGAGCAGGUAGCCUAGUGGUUAGAGCAGGUAGCCUAGUGGUUAGAGCAGGUAGCCUAGUGGGUAGAGCAGGUAGCCUAGUGGUUAGAGCAGGUAGCCUAGUGGUUAGAGCAGGUAGCCUAGUGGUUAGAGCAGGUAGCCUAGUGGGUAGAGCAGGUAGCCUAGUGGGUAGAGCAGGUAGCCUAGUGGUUAGAGCAGGUAGCCUAGUGGGUAGAGCAGGUAGCCUAGUGGUUAGAGCAGGUAGCCUAGUGGUUAGAGCAGGUAGCCUAGUGGUUAGAGCAGGUAGCCUAGUGGUUAGAGCC
ensembl:lncRNA